rnacentral:rRNA from 1 species
UACGGAGGGUGCAAGCGUUAUCCGGAUUACUGGGUUUAAAGGGUGCGUAGGUGGGUCUGUAAGUCAGUGGUGAAAUCUUCAAGCUUAACUUGGAAACUGCCAUUGAUACUAUAGGUCUUGAAUUAUCUGGAGGUGAGCGGAAUAUGUCAUGUAGCGGUGAAAUGCUUAGAUAUGACAUAGAACACCAAUUGCGAAGGCAGCUCACUACGGAUUUAUUGACACUGAGGCACGAAAGCGUGGGGAUCAAACAGG